GGGGCGUUAGCUCAGUUGGCAGAGCACCGGACUUUUAAUCCGUAGGUCCCGGGUUCGAAUCCCGGACGCCCUA
rnacentral:tRNA from 1 species